rnacentral:rRNA from 1 species
UACGAAGGGAGCUAGCGUUGUUCGGAAUCACUGGGCGUAAAGCGCACGUAGGCGGACGUGUCAGUCAGGGGUGAAAUCCCGGAGCUCAACUUCGGAACUGCCUUUGAUACAGCACGUCUUGAGUCCGGAAGAGGUGGGUGGAAUUCCUAGUGUAGAGGUGAAAUUCGUAGAUAUUAGGAAGAACACGGUGGCGAAGGCGGCCCACUGGUCCGGUACUGACGCUGAGGUGCGAAGCGUGGGGAGCAAACAGGGA